AUCUCUUGUUGGAGAUCCCUGCUUACCUGAGGCCUUCCAAAGAACACUUUAUACUUUCCCUUUUACCCCCAUCUGCUGGUAAAGCGAAGCUGGCACAUACAAGCCAGUAACUACAGAGAGUGACUGGCAGUGUUCCUGCUUGCUUAAGACAAGUUGCUGAAGUGCUUCAGAGAUGGGGUGAGAAGGAGAAAAUCCUGUUUUCUUGCACUUUGUACAUCACAAUAUUAUCAUGGGUAAAAUGAAGAGUGUUUCUCAGAAGUAUGCCUUGUGAUUUCUGGCCUGCUCAGACUGCCUGCUUCUUCCAGAUGAGAUGAUGUGACAAAUAAAUACUUAAGAUCUCUGAGAAGUACUCUGCCAUGAGUCUCCCCAGCAGAAGACAGGGUCAGGGGACCUGGCUGUGCCCAUUCCCUGUUUGCACCACAUUAGGAACUGCCUGGGGUCUGCUGGGCCUGACCCAUACCACCUCUCCAAAUCCCAUGAUCUGAAGAGGAAGGGCAAUGUGAUGCUUCAGGGAGUGACCAGAAUUCUGGCUCCCAGCAUGUAGGUGCUCGUUUUGUUAUUUAUUCCAUGUCUCCUCAGUAUUUUCAGCCCUGUUUGCUUAGUUGGUGUUGAAGGACACAAACCACAGCGCUGCAGAGGAGCCCCUGGGAAGCUCUGAGAUGGCUGCGGGCCCACACACUAUAUCUGUGACAGUUUGUGCCAGAGCAUUAUGGCUGCACGCAAAGCAGCAGAUGAAUUAUGUGUGUGACAAGCUGAGGAGGAACAGUGGCCACGGCCUGACAUUUUCCUGCCUGCUGAGCACAGCUUGCAAGGGGAGGAGAGCCAAUGGGAUGACACGAGGCUGUUUGUCACAGUGCGUGCUUGCUGUCCCUUGUGCUGGCUGCAUCCUUUGCUCACAGUUCUACCAUUGGCUGCAUGCCUAUUUCUGGGCUAAACUACACAGCCGGGGUCACUGGGCCUUGACCUGUUCCUGCAGCACAGUUGUGGCCUGGGCAGCUGGUACUCUCCCCACAAAAAGUCCUGGGUGCAAUUAGGGUUAGACACUAGCAGGGACAGGCAGUUUGGGUUUAACUACCUUAUUGCAGAGAGGAGUGGUGUUUAGCAGAAUGGAAGUGACUAAAUGGCACAAAGUAGCAGCUAGAUCCCUUUCCUGGCUCUCAGGCCAUUUAAUUUACUGCUGUAACAAUAGCCUGCAAGUUCAAUGAGUUUGGAGGCACUUAUCCUUCCUGCCUGUGGAACAGGAAGCUCCUGGCCCCUGUCAACUGCCUUUUCCAAAGUGUUUUUGAAAGAUUAUAGCAUGAGUGGAAAAAUACCUUUCAAAAAUUAUCUAAUUGAUCCCCUUCUAGUUAGUCCCAUCUAAGCUCAGAAUUCCCCAUCAGACUUGUUAGGCUUAAAAGAAAAAAAAAAAAAAGAUACUCUCCAUUCUUCUUCAAAUCCUUGAACUGGCACUCAUAGAAUCACAGCAUCAUAUAAUAGCUUG
ensembl:lncRNA